CCUUUGUUCAGCUUCUCACAAUUGUAACAAUUUAAAUAUUUACCAGUAAGCUAAUUGUGAGUUAGGAUUCAAGUUGUUUCUAAGGUCUAAGGACACAGAGACAGACCACCAAGCCCUCAAUCAAGAGUCAUGAAAUGAUGUCUGAAGAACAAGAAUGAGCCAGAGGUGAACUGGGUCUUACUAAAACUUUACAACACUGGCUGGAUACAUACAGCUUAUUCCUUCACUGGAUUAAGAUAACUCCUUAUCCUUCUACCUGUUAGAGGUGUUGAUUCUGCCUAAUAGAGGAAAGGUCAAAUCCUCUUGGUAUAUCAUCUGGCACACAUCAUAAUAAAAAAUUUGAAAACUGA